CAGAAAAUAGUUUAUAAUAAAAAUAUUAAUUUUGGAGAUUAAAGAUAGAAAGAAUUUCUUUUUCUGA
rnacentral:tRNA from 1 species